rnacentral:rRNA from 1 species
CACGACUCUCGGCAACGGAUAUCUAGGCUCUCGCAUCGAUGAAGAACGUAGCAAACUGCGAUACUUGGUGUGAAUUGCAGAAUCCCGUGAACCAUCGAGUCUUUGAACGCAAGUUGCGCCCGAAGCCAUUAGGCCGAGGGCACGUCUGCCUGGGCGUCACGCAUCGCGU